ensembl:lncRNA LINC02307 long intergenic non-protein coding RNA 2307
CCCGUCUUUAACUCAACUAAGGAAAAGUCCUCAACAUUUUUGGUGCGCAACGUGGGGGCUCGAGAAGUGAAACCAUAGAUGUAAAGGUGAAGAGUGUCGGCAAAUACACUUUCUGCCAUGUGGAAAAAGCUGGCCUGCAGUGAAAGGGAGAAAUACAGCAGACACACAUGGAGACUCUGAGGCAAGAAACAAAGACCUUUCAAGAAGUAUUAAGGAAGCCAGAUCUCAUGCCUUACAGCACAGUGGGAAGAACCACU